rnacentral:rRNA from 1 species
CCUGGCUCAGGACGAACGCUGGCGGCGCGCCUAACACAUGCAAGUCGAACGAGCGAGAGAGAGCUUGCUUUCUCGAGCGAGUGGCGAACGGGUGAGUAACGCGUGAGGAACCUGCCUCAAAGAGGGGGACAACAGUUGGAAACGACUGCUAAUACCGCAUAAGCCCACAGCUCGGCAUCGAGCAGAGGGAAAAGGAGCAAUCCGCUUUGAGAUGGCCUCGCGUCCGAUUAGCUAGUUGGUGAGGUAAUGGCCCACCAAGGCGACGAUCGGUAGCCGGACUGAGAGGUUGAACGGCCACAUUGGGACUGAGACACGGCCCAGACUCCUACGGGAGGCAGCAGUGGGGAAUAUUGCACAAUGGGGGAAACCCUGAUGCAGCGACGCCGCGUGGAGGAAGAAGGUCUUCGGAUUGUAAACUCCUGUUGUUGAGGAAGAUAAUGACGGUACUCAACAAGGAAGUGACGGCUAACUACGUGCCAGCAGCCGCGGUAAAACGUAGGUCACAAGCGUUGUCCGGAAUUACUGGGUGUAAAGGGAGCGCAGGCGGGAAGACAAGUUGGAAGUGAAAUCCAUGGGCUCAACCCAUGAACUGCUUUCAAAACUGUUUUUCUUGAGUAGUGCAGAGGUAGGCGGAAUUCCCGGUGUAGCGGUGGAAUGCGUAGAUAUCGGGAGGAACACCAGUGGCGAAGGCGGCCUACUGGGCACCAACUGACGCUGAGGCUCGAAAGUGUGGGUAGCAAACAGGAUUAGAUACCCUGGUAGUCCACACUGUAAACGAUGAUUACUAGGUGUUGGAGGAUUGACCCCUUCAGUGCCGCAGUUAACACAAUAAGUAAUCCACCUGGGGAGUACGACCGCAAGGUUGAAACUCAAAGGAAUUGACGGGGGCCCGCACAAGCAGUGGAGUAUGUGGUUUAAUUCGACGCAACGCGAAGAACCUUACCAAGUCUUGACAUCCCUUGACGAUGCUGGAAACAGUAUUUCUCUUCGGAGCAAGGAGACAGGUGGUGCAUGGUUGUCGUCAGCUCGUGUCGUGAGAUGUUGGGUUAAGUCCCGCAACGAGCGCAACCCUUAUGGUCAGUUACUACGCAAGAGGACUCUGGCCAGACUGCCGUUGACAAAACGGAGGAAGGUGGGGAUGACGUCAAAUCAUCAUGCCCUUUAUGACUUGGGCUACACACGUACUACAAUGGCGUUAAACAAAGAGAAGCAAGACCGCGAGGUGGAGCAAAACUCAGAAACAACGUCCCAGUUCGGACUGCAGGCUGCAACUCGCCUGCACGAAGUCGGAAUUGCUAGUAAUCGCAGAUCAGCAUGCUGCGGUGAAUACGUUCCCGGGCCUUGUACACACCGCCC